rnacentral:rRNA from 1 species
UACAGAGGGGGCAAGCGUUGUUCGGAAUUACUGGGCGUAAAGGGCGCGUAGGCGGCCUUCUAAGUCGAACGUGAAAUCCCCGGGCUUAACCCGGGAACUGCGUCCGAUACUGGAAGGCUUGAAUCCGGGAGAGGGAUGCGGAAUUCCAGGUGUAGCGGUGAAAUGCGUAGAUAUCAGGAGGAACACCGGUGGCGAAGGCGGGUCUCUGGGACGGUACUGACGCUGAGACGCGAAAGCGUGGGGAGCGAACAGG